UACAGAGGGUGCAAGCGUUAAUCGGAAUGACUGGGCGUAAAGGGCGUGUAGGUGGACUUACAAGUCACAGGUGAAAUCCCUAGGCUCAACCUGGGAACUGCCUGUGAAACUGUAAGACUAGAGUAUAGGAGAGGGAAGUGGAAUUUCCGGUGUAGCGGUGAAAUGCGUAGAUAUCGGAAGGAACACCAGUGGCGAAGGCGACUUCCUGGCCAAAUACUGACACUGAGGCGCGAAAGCGUGGGUAGCGAACAGG
rnacentral:rRNA from 1 species